rnacentral:rRNA from 1 species
GGAGGUUACUGCUAUCGGUGUUCGCCUAACCCAUGCGAGUCAUAUGUUCUUCGUGAACAUGGCGUACUGCUCAGUAACACGUGAAUAACCUGCCCUUGGGACCGGCAUAACCCCGGGAAACUGGGGAUAAUUCCGGAUACCGCAUAUAUGCUGGAAUGCUUUAUGCGUGAAAUGGAUUCGUCUGCCCAAGGAUGGAUCUGCGGCCUAUCAGGUAGUAGGGGGUGUAAUGUACCUACUACCCUACAACGGGUACGGGUUGUGAAAGCAAGAGCCCGGAAAUGGAUUCUGAAACAUGAAUCCAGGCCCUACGGGGCGCAGCAGGCGCAAAAACUUUACAAUGCGGGAAACCGUGAUAAGGGGACACCGAGUGCCAGCAACAUUUGUUGGCUGUCCAGGUGUGUAAACUACACCUGUUAGCAAGGGCCGGGCAAAACCGGUGC